CAGCAGUCGCCACGGAAAUACAGAGGGUGCGAGCGUUAAUCGGAUUUACUGGGCGUAAAGCGUGCGUAGGCGGCUUCUUAAGUCGGAUGUGAAAUCCCUGAGCUUAACUUAGGAAUUGCAUUCGAUACUGGGAAGCUAGAGUAUGGGAGAGGAUGGUAGAAUUCCAGGUGUAGCGGUGAAAUGCGUAGAGAUCUGGAGGAACACCGAUGGCGAAGGCAGCCAUCUGGCCUAAUACUGACGCUGAGGUACGAAAGCAUGGGGAGCAAACAGGAUUAGAUACCCCAGUAGUCCCUGUCUCUUAUAC
rnacentral:rRNA from 1 species